rnacentral:rRNA from 1 species
GACGUAGGGCGCGAGCGUUGUCCGGAUUUAUUGGGCGUAAAGAGCUCGUAGGCGGCUUGUCGCGUCGACCGUGAAAACUCGCAGCUCAACUGCGAGCCUGCGGUCGAUACGGGCAGGCUAGAGUUCGGUAGGGGAGACUGGAAUUCCUGGUGUAGCGGUGAAAUGCGUAGAUAUCGUAAGGAACGCCAGUGGCGAAAGCGAAUCUCUGGGCAGCAGCUGACGCUGAGGCACGAAGGCCAGGGGAGCAAACGGG